ACUGCCGCCGCCACCUCCACCGCUCCCCCCACUGUCGCAAACCGCGCCCAGCCGCCGAGGCGGGCGUGCGUGCGACCCCGCCACACUGCUGAAAAAGGGGCGCGCGCGCGCGCCCUCCCGCGCGGCUUCCUGGCUCCUUCCCUUUCCCCACUCCCGUCUUGCCCUUUUCCCGCCGCCCUCCCGGCGGUUUGCACGGAGAGGUGAGAUCCGUUGGCUUUCGAGGGCAGUAUUUCGUACGUCCCCUUCCCCACGACUGCCUCAAAAAAGGAGAGGCGGAACUCAGAGGGAUGUCCCCUCACCCCCUUCCUCCUUCCAAAGGCGUUUCAGCCGCAAUUGGCCCAAUCCUUCGAUCCCCGACCCGCUGCAAGGACUCAAAGUCUGUGGAAUGGACUAGACCACCAACGUCCCAGGGGACGGGGGAAGAGACAGAAGUCACCUCUUGAUUUAGCGAUGUCAGUGGGUAAGACUGGAGGCAGAGAGAUGAACUCCAAGGCUACUGCAACACUGCAGACCUGAACUAAGGCAGCACCAAUGAAGAUGGAAAGUAGAGUUGCUUCCAGAGGUACUUAAGAAAUACAGUCAACUAGACCAGUAAUUCCUGGAAUGUGAGGAGUGAAGAGAGAGGGACAUAGAGUGCCUCAGAUAACAAACAUGAAACAAAGAAAUUAAAUUACUAGCUCACAGAGGCGGUAAGUGGUGGAUGCACACAGCCUAACUCUGAGACCUGAGUUCUUCAUCUCUGCACCAUAUGGCUACCCACUGAAUUGCCAGCAUGUUUAUCUCUGGAGUCUGAAUUCCUGACUGAUAUGAUGGCCUGUCUCCAAAUAAGGCCUAUUUUGCUGUCCUCUCUCGGAAAUUCUGGAAUACCACUGAAGGCCAUCAAUAAUACUAUUUGUACAUGGCUAUAUACUAAUAUACUAGAAGAGAUGGCAAAGACUUCGGAAUUACUUGUGGGGCCUCAGGGAUACCAUAAUUUAAAACCCUUGAACAAAAAAGAUGUAGCAAGUCUCCCUACAGCUCCAGAUCCUGAAAGAGUUGUCGGAAUUGCAGGGAAUGAUUUCUCCACUGGGAGCAGGAAGAGUAGUGGCAUAAAAGAGAAAAUACCAACCAAGCUUUUCGACUUUCUUACCAGAAUGCCAGCUUUGCUACAUGCCACCUGUUUAUUGGUCUAUACCCCAAAGAUCAACACAGAUCACCAACACAAAAUGCUUGUGCAUCAAGUUCUUAACAGAGAUGGCAGCCUUAAAACAGCCACUCUGCCACACCCCCACCACAGGCUAAAUUAUUUGUUGGCAAAAUCCUUUUCUGAUUUACAGUGCCUUCACACUCAAUAAACGUUUUCUGAAUGAAUUAAA